AGACGGGAUCUCACCAUCUUGCCCAGGCUGGUCUCCUAACUCCUGGGCUCAAGCGAGCCUCCCACCUUGGCCUCCCGAGUAGCUGGGACCUACUGAGUCACACUUGUAGUCACAUCCUUUUCCUUUCUCCAACCCACUGGUUAAUCAUGAAAGGCUCUUCUGAUUGGCUGCCUCCUGGCAGUAGUGCCUCAGCGCGGCGGUUCGGGAGCAAAUAAAUAAUUCCCGCUGGGAAGCUGUUUCUCAGACAGGAGCAGCGACACCCCUGCCACGCCUGCCGCCUGGAGUUGAGUGGGGUCCCCGUGCCGCCUUCAGCGCGCCUCCUUAUGCACCUCUACCUCUGCUGCGGCGCACCUCUUCCGCAGCCCCAGCGGCCUCCCCGAGGGGCGCCGCGGCCUCGGCUGUCCCGCCCCUGCCUGGCACGACCACCUGACCUCCAGCGACCCAAGAAGCAAGUUGUGUUUGCAGACGCAAAGGGGCUGUCGUUGGUAUCGGUGCACUGGUUUGAAGCCACUGCGGGCAGAGCCUGAAGAGGGCCGGUGUCCCGCGUGCAGCCUCCCCGGCCCGGCCUCCUCCUGCUGCAGAACCGCCCCCCACGCCCGGGGCUGCUGCGCCCCAGGAGGGACUAGGGGGUAUUCAGGGAUGCCCGCACUCUCGGGGGCGAGCCUGCAGCUGUGUGCCCUGUAGGGGCUUCCUGCGGGGCACCGUGAGCGCAGGUGGGGACAAGCGGGCGGUGCAGAUGCGCACCCCCUGGAUGCCUGGGGUUCCUUCCAACAAGAGCCCUGUGUUGGAACGCCGGGUCCCCGCGGAGGUGAGAGGGUCGGCCUCGCCUUCCAGGCGGUGUUGCCGCCGAGUCCCCUGGCCCCGCGGGCCACCGUCCAGUUCUGCUUCUCUUUAGAGCGUGCUCAGCGGCCUUUCGGGGACAGUAAUCAAAGGCAAAACUACAGCUGGGUGCCGGGUUCGCCGUCCUGCUCAUCAGAAUGAAGCCAGGCUCUGUGAGGGCGCACAGACAGACAGGCUGAGGCCUCUGCGCCUGCCUUUUCCACCUGGGCAAAGCGUGAUUUCUUGUCCAGGACGCGCGUGUUUCCUAUGUCGGGGAACUUUGCUCAAUCUGUUUUCUUGCUCCUGAAUUCAUAAUGGAGAAACAGGACUGAUUCAACUCCUAGUCCCUGCAGAAGGCCUCGAAUGCCUUGCAUUCUUCUCUCACUUCCUGACUACAAGGGAUGAGGUUUUGCUUUAGGAAGAUUCUGGGAAUGGAGUCGGGAAACGGAAGAAAUGCAAAUAAAGUAUUUAUAUGUAAUUAUUGAAAGGGCUUAGCAGAGAGUGUCUAAGGACCGUGGGUGGUGUGUGCGUGCGCGUGUGUGGAUGUUUGUGUGUGUAUUGCAGAGGUUGGGGAGGGGUUCUUUACGUUAAAGAUGGGAGAGAGAACUUUGCCCUUCUACUUUCCUCUCCAUCUAGGAAGGGCUACUUUCCUGGUAACUUGAAAUAGUCAGGCUUAUUCCACUUUUGCCAAAAGGAAUGUUCAUUAAAGCAUCUUCAACAGUUGAUAUAAUAAACACUUUUUCUCCCUCUUCAUCAUAUAAAAGUGUGGGGAGACUCUGUCUCUGUUCAUUUCAAAAUAUGGGUACUUUUAAAAACACUUAUUUUCAGUAGUUUAGUACACUUUAAUUUUUAAUUUUAAUUAUUAUUAUUUUUUUUUAGACAGUAUCUCCUCAUGUUGUCCAAGCUGGUCUUGAACUCCUGGGUUCAACUGGUCCUCCUGCCUAAGGAUCACUCAGAGUGUUGGGAUUACAGGUGUGAGCCAUGGUGCCUGGGUACUACUUUUUUUUUUUUUUUUUUUUUUUUGAGAUGGAGUCUCGCCUUGUCACCCAGGUUGGAGUGCAAUGGUGCCAUAUCAGCUCACUGCAAUCUCCACCUCCUGGGUUCAAAUGAUUCUCCUGCCUCAGCCUCCCGUGUAGCUGGGAUUAUAGGCACCUGCCACCAUGCACUGCUAUUUUUUGUAUCUUUAGUAGAGACGGGGUUUCAUCAUGUUGGCCAGGCUGGUCUCAAACUGCUGACCUCGUGAUCCUCCCACCUUGGCCUCCCAAAGUGCUGGGAUUACAGGCGUGAGCCAACACACCCGGCUGCUACUACUUCUUUGAGUGCAAUUUACCUAGACCCAGAAACCUGACCUUUGCCCCCACGGCCCCCAUAGCUCCCCAUUAUGUAUUGAUGGUCCGGUAUUGAAAGCAUCCACUGAAGUGUUUGCCUCCCCCAGGAUGGGAGAAAGUGAGGACAAGUUGGCCUUGGACACAGCCGGCCACAGGCUGGCCACCCCCCUGGAGCUCAGAACAUAUGGAUUAGAAUAAUACAUGAGAAUGUGUGCCAAGUAUGCCUCUAGCUUCAAUUUACAGUGUUCUGAGAGCUUUAGAUGUUGGAAGGCUUUAACCUCUUUUCAGGGACUCUUCAUUCUUCGAUUAUUAUUCAUAGAUGACAAAUUUUAAAUAAAAGAUUUCUUUUUGUA